CUGCUUUGCUGACGAGUGGCGGACGGGUGAGUAAUGUCUGGGAAACUGCCUGAUGGAGGGGGAUAACUACUGGAAACGGUAGCUAAUACCGCAUAACGUCGCAAGACCAAAGAGGGGGACCUUCGGGCCUCUUGCCAUCGGAUGUGCCCAGAUGGGAUUAGCUAGUAGGUGGGGUAACGGCUCACCUAGGCGACGAUCCCUAGCUGGUCUGAGAGGAUGACCAGCCACACUGGAACUGAGACACGGUCCAGACUCCUACGGGAGGCAGCAGUGGGGAAUAUUGCACAAUGGGCGCAAGCCUGAUGCAGCCAUGCCGCGUGUAUGAAGAAGGCCUUCGGGUUGUAAAGUACUUUCAGCGGGGAGGAAGGUGUUGAGGUUAAUAACCUCAGCAAUUGACGUUACCCGCAGAAGAAGCACCGGCUAACUCCGUGCCAGCAGCCGCGGUAAUACGGAGGGUGCAAGCGUUAAUCGGAAUUACUGGGCGUAAAGCGCACGCAGGCGGUCUGUCAAGUCGGAUGUGAAAUCCCCGGGCUCAACCUGGGAACUGCAUUCGAAACUGGCAGGCUAGAGUCUUGUAGAGGGGGUAGAAUUCCAGGUGUAGCGGUGAAAUGCGUAGAGAUCUGGAGGAAUACCGGUGGCGAAGGCGGCCCCCUGGACAAAGACUGA
rnacentral:rRNA from 1 species